rnacentral:tRNA from 1 species
AAAAAGAUAAGCUAAGAUUAAGCUAACGGGUUCAUACCCCGUCUAUGAGAUUAUACCUCUCUUUUUA